GUUGAAGCUUUGAAGCAUUUGGGUCAGCCCUAAGCACUUUUAUUUUGAGAUUUGUUUGAGUAAGAGUAGGUCCUGUAACUUGGCGCAGUUUUGGAAAAAACACCUCGGUGUCGGUGUCUGUGUGUGGGCGUGGUCCUCCUGGCUCUCGGCUUUGCUCAUCAUACACACCUGUCUGCAAUCAGCUAAUCAUCCCUCCCAGUCUGCACACCUGCUUCUCAUCAGCCUGCAGUAUAUCUACCCCGGCUUGUCAACCACUCCUGCCAGAUCAUUAUCUCAACUACCGUGAUUCUUGUCGCCCUUUCUGCUACCCUGGUGCAACCUCAGCCUGCCUACAUCACUCACCCACGUCCAGCCUGGUCUCUCAAUAAACCUUCUUAAAACUU